CUAAUGGCUUCUCUUGAAGCCACAUUUGCAUAACAAGCACAGUGCAU
rfam:Homo sapiens chromosome 19, GRCh38 reference primary assembly.